UACGUAGGGGGCAGGCGUUAAUCGGAAUUACUGGGCGUAAAGCGUGCGCAGGCGGGCUUUUAAGUCAGAUGUGAAAUCCCCGGGCUUAACCUGGGAACUGCGUUUGAAACUGGAAGGCUAGAGUGUGGCAGAGGGGGGUGGAAUUCCACGUGUAGCAGUGAAAUGCGUAGAGAUGUGGAGGAACACCGAUGGCGAAGGCAGCCCCCUGGGCUAACACUGACGCUCAUGCACGAAAGCGUGGGGAGCAAACAGG
rnacentral:rRNA from 1 species